GGCCCGCGGCCCCCCGGGUUGGGUGUGAGGUGCGUUUCGUCCGCUCGCAGCCUCCUCUGCGUCCCAGGUAAUCUGUGAGCGGUUAGGAGCAGCUGGCUGCCCGUGGAAGCUGCUGGAUUGAAAUAUAAAUGGUUAGACCCUCUGGGAGGUGCACUGAGCGGUACCCGAGGAGAGCUGGUGCGCUGUGCCUAAAUUACUGACAGGUGGUCAUCGGGCACCCAAAUGCAGCAUGGAACAUCCUGGAGUCGAUGCUCCUCUCCCUCCUCCAGUCUGUUUGGAAACAGAGCUUGGAAAUGUCCAGAUUCAACGACACAAGGGAAUUGGCAAAACACGAUAAAGCUCCUGUCCCGUUCAGCUACCUCAGAUUUUGCUUCAGAUUCUAAUUGUGAUCAUUUUACACAUCCUGCCUUCUUUGACCGACAGUCAUCAAGAGUCAAUGUCAGGCCAUGAAUUUCUGACAGAGUCUCCAAGACAGUGGAGUUAAAUAGCUGUGAUCUGACCUUGCCGUAACAGUUAGCUCUAUGCGACGUAGGUGGAAACAAAGCACGUUUGUAAUUGCGAUGAGGUACGUUCUUUCCCUGAAUUUCAUCAGGGCUAGAACAUUACUCGUUGAGCUGGUUAUACCAUGCGUAACCACAGUCCUUUCCCACAGGAUGGACCAAGCAGUGGAAUAACAAAGGUAUUUUAUGUAAUUAUAUGCUAUUCCAUGACUCUGAAAACAUGAACUAUGCAGUGUGGUUUUCUGCUACAAUCCUUGGCUGUGUGAAGUGAUGAUGCCUCCUUUGGCAGCUUCCUGGUGGAAAAAAAAAAGGUAAGGAAAGCUCUGCAUUGCAAGGUUUUGGAGGAUAGAGCAGAUGAGACUGCCGUUUGAAUCAGCCUCAGUUUCCAAAGCCUUUCUGUUGCAAGGCCACCCAUGGAAAUGUUGGCUACUUGCUGCCUCACUGAAGCGUGUCUUAACUUCAGGAGUAGGCAGUACUGCAGCUUCUUUUCUACCACAGUUUUUUUUUUACAUUUACAGUUUUUUUUUUAAUCAAGAUUAAUCUGUUAAUGAUAUUUCCUGUAAUUGUACGUGGCAAUUUCCUGCUUCUGUUAUUUCUGUAUUGCAAACUUCCUCAACUACCUUCACAAUCUGUUUUUGUCAGAACUCUGUUCUGCUCUUGGUGUGAGCCAGAAUAUCCACUUGCCUCAACUCUAAAUUUGCCAUUGACCAACAUGAAAGGAAAAAAGUUAACUAUUUGAUUUCCUAUAUCAGAUAACAAAAUAUAGACAUAGCAAACACUUCUAUAUCAUUUGAGGUUUAUUAAAAUAUAACCCUUUCUAAAUUUCAUACACAUUUUGAAGCUUGUUUAUGUCACAUUAUUACUAUUUUUUUCCUCAGAGAAAAUAGCAUUGUUGAUCCCUUUAUUUUUCUGAUAGCAUCUUAAGGCUGUAUUCACAAUGACCACCACAAAUGCCAUCUACACUUCUGAGUAGAAAUGAGAGACUUGACCUGCGUCAUAGCUCACAUUUAGAGGCUCGCUUAUCAAGUGGGAUAUGACUAUGAGACCCUGAGAUAUGAGUGAAUGUCUAUAUUUAUCACCAACAGUCCUUUUUCCACAGUCUUGCCACAUGAUGUCACACUUCACACUGUCGGUUACGUCUCUAAUGACUAGUGCACCCAUACAAUGAGUAUGAUUUUAACAUGACAGUAUAACAGAAGCUAAACAACAAAUUGUGAGGCAACUCUCUAAGAUACAUCCCUUGUUUUAUGCAGCAUAUUUAUACUUCAAAAGUAAGUGUUGAUACGCUUACUCUUCAUUUUAUGUUAGUGGUGUGUUAAGGGUUGAAGGAAGUAGAUACUCUAGUUAGUACAGAGUCAUCGCAAGGCCAUCACAGAGAAGCUGGCAUCAAGAGAAGAAAAAAGAGACUAGGAAUGGAAAGAGCACAAUUGGUUCUUGUGGCAGUGCUGUUAGUUCAUGACGUCUUCACAAGUUCAUUUAAUGCUGAAUAACUUACCUGUAAGUCGGUAACUUUAUGAAAGGAAUGAUAUGAUCACCUGCAGCAACAAAGGAUAAAACUAAUGAUUCGGGAUGUUCUUUCUAGUUCCAGCUCAUAUGUAUUUCUUCCCUGUCGUGGAUGAUCCUCGGUAUCCAUAGUAUGUAUAUAUUUUUCUAUUAUUUUUCUUUUUUUCUAUUAUUUUUUAACUUUGUCCUUGAUAUACUACUUUAAAUUACUAAUAAAAAAUAAACAUCUCAUUGUCCAAUUAUGUACAAAGAGCUAUCAAUUCAUGAAAUAUUUCAGCCAGAAAUAUCUUUGGCUGAAGGACAGUUAUGUUUGCAAGGAAAAAAAAAAAGGCUAUGGAAACGCUUAU